rnacentral:rRNA from 1 species
GAUGAACGCUGGCGGCGUGCCUAAUACAUGCAAGUCGAGCGAACAGAUGAGGAGCUUGCUCCUCUGACGUUAGCGGCGGACGGGUGAGUAACACGUGGAUAACCUACCUAUAAGACUGGGAUAACUUCGGGAAACCGGAGCUAAUACCGGAUAAUAUAUUGAACCGCAUGGUUCAAUAGUGAAAGACGGUUUUGCUGUCACUUAUAGAUGGAUCCGCGCCGCAUUAGCUAGUUGGUAAGGUAACGGCUUACCAAGGCAACGAUGCGUAACCGACCUGAGAGGGUGAUCGGCCACACUGGAACUGAGACACGGUCCAGACUCCUACGGGAGGCAGCAGUAGGGAAUCUUCCGCAAUGGGCGAAAGCCUGACGGAGCAACGCCGCGUGAGUGAUGAAGGUCUUCGGAUCGUAAAACUCUGUUAUUAGGGAAGAACAAAUGUGUAAGUAACUAUGCACGUCUUGACGGUACCUAAUCAGAAAGCCACGGCUAACUACGUG